CUAGGAAUAUUGGACAAUGGGCGAAAGCCUGAUCCAGCAACACCGCGUGGAGGACGAAGGUCUUCGGGUCGUAAACUCCUUUUUGGGGGGAUGAGAAAGGACAGUACCCCCAGAAUAAGGCCCGGCUAACUACGUGCCAGCAGCCGCGGUAAUACGUAGGGGCCAAGCGUUAUCCGGAUUUACUGGGCGUAAAGCGCAUGUAGGCGGUCUGCUAAGUCGGACGUGAAAGCCCCUGGCUCAACUAGGGGAGGCUGUUCGAAACUAGUAGACUAGAGGGUGGUAGAGGAGAGCGGAAUUCCAGGUGUAGCGGUGAAAUGCGUAGAUAUCUGGAGGAACACCAGUGGCGAAAGCGGCUCUCUGGCCCACUCCUGACGCUGAGAUGCGAAAGCCAGGGGAGAGAAC
rnacentral:rRNA from 1 species